rnacentral:siRNA from 1 species
UUGGAUGGUUUCAGGCUUCU